GCCGAAGUGGUGAAAUUGGCAGACGCGCCGGACUCAAAAUCCGGUGGUAGCGAUACCGUGCGGGUUAAAGGCCCGCCUUCGGCACCA
rnacentral:tRNA from 1 species